CGCGUAGGCGGCUUGACAAGUCCAAGGUGAAAUCCCUCGGCUCAACCGAGGAACUGCCUUGGAAACUGUCUGGCUCGAGGCCGGGAGAGGGUAGUGGAAUUCCCAGUGUAGCGGUGAAAUGCGUAGAUAUUGGGAGGAACACCGGUGGCGAAGGCGGCUACCUGGACCGGAUCUGACGCUGAUGCGCGAAAGCGUGGGGAGCAAACA
rnacentral:rRNA from 1 species